rnacentral:lncRNA from 1 species
UUUUUUUUUUUUUUUUUUUUUUUUUUUUUUCCUGCACAGUGGUUUUGAUUUUGAGAGAGAAAUGUGCAGGCAGCUCACGUUCAUAAUGAGAAUGAUGUUUUAUCUGAGUCCUACAAUGACUGUGAGAGAAUGCCACCAGUUAGUUCAGGGAAACCAAGGGACUAAGAGUUUCCCAAACAGGACCGGAAUGAUCUCGGGACUGAGCUCAGAGGCUGCCAUCAAAAGUGUCAAUCUUGCAGCAGGUUGAGCCAGCCCUCUGGAAGGUGGAUUUAGAUGAUGCAAGGUAAUUCGUUUGUGAUGUGAUAAGAACAGUGGGAGGAAAGGACAGACAAGAAUUAAAAGGAAAGUAUGACUUGCAAGAUAUCCUAGACCCUUAGCACUGCCCAUCCACCACUCCCACCCUAAUAAGCAACUGCUGAGAAUACAGAUCUAGUUCCCCAGUGGCAGCAAAUGACACAGUAUUGGCAGAUGUCCUGGAAGAAAGCAGAACUGUUUAGCUUCUAUUUUAAUUCUAUUCUUUUUGGG